rnacentral:rRNA from 1 species
UGAGUACGAGAGGCUACGGCCUCGAAGCAGUCUAUGUCAUACUUCCAAGAAAAGCUUGCAAUGUCAUAAACAAAUAAUGCCUGUACCAUAACCGACACAGGUGGGUAGGUAGAGUAUACUAAGGGGCGCGAGAUGACUCUCUCUAAGGAACUCGGCAAAAUGACUCCGUAACUUCGGGAGAAGGAGUGCCUUAUUUAUAAGGUUGCAAUAACAAGAUCCAAGCAACUGUUUACCAAAAACACAGGUCUCCGCUAAGUCGUAAGACGAUGUAUGGGGGCUGACGCCUGCCCAGUGCCAGAAGGUUAAAGAAGUUGGUUAGCAUUAGCGAAGCUGAUAACUGAAGCCCUGGUGAACGGCGGCCGUAACGAUAACGGUCCUAAGGUAGCGAAAUUCCUUGUCGGGUAAGUUCCGACCCGCACGAAAGGCGUAAUGAUUUGGAUACUGUCUCGGAGAGAGGCUCGGUGAAAUAGACUUGCCUGUGAAGAUGCGGACUACCUGCACCUGGACAGAAAGACCCUAUGAAGCUUUACUGUAACUUGAAAUUGAAAUUGGACUUUAUUUGCGCAGUAUAGGUGGGAGGCGUUGAGAGUAUUCUUGCGGGAAUAUUGGAGCCAUCAGUGAGAUACCACUCUUGUAAUGUUAGAUUUCUAACUUUGGAUCAUUAUCUGGUCAAAGGACAGUUUCAGGCGGGCAGUUUGACUGGGGCGGUCGCCUCCCAAACGGUAACGGAGGCGUACAAAGGUUUCCUCUGAACGGGUAGAAAUCGUAUCUAGAGUGUAAAGGCAUAAGGAAGCUUGACUGUGAGACCUACAAGUCGAGCAGGGACGAAAGUCGGUCUUAGUGAUCUGACGGUGCUGAGUGGAAAGGCCGUCACUCAACGGAUAAAAGUUACUCUAGGAUAACAGGCUGAUCUCCCCCAAGAGUUCACAUCUACGGGGAGGUUUGGCACCUCGAUGUCGGCUCAUCGCAUCCUGGGGCGGUAGUACGUCCCAAGGGUUGGGCUGUUCGCCCAUGAAAGCGGUACGCGAGCUGGGUUCAGAACGUCGUGAGACAGUUCGGUCCAUAUCCGGUGUAGGCGUUAGAAUAUUGAGAGGAGCCUUCUUUAGUACGAGAGGACCGAGAAGGACAUACCUCUGGUGUACCAGUUAUCGUGCCAACGGUAAACGCUGGGUAGCUAUGUGUGGAGAGGAUAACCGCUGAAAGCAUCUAAGUGGGAAGCCCACCUCAAGAUAAGUAUUCUCACAG